UGGCUCAGAUUGAACGCUGGCGGCAGGCCUAACACAUGCAAGUCGAGCGGUAGAGAGAAGCUUGCUUCUCUUGAGAGCGGCGGACGGGUGAGUAAUGCCUAGGAAUCUGCCUGGUAGUGGGGGAUAACGUUCGGAAACGGACGCUAAUACCGCAUACGUCCUACGGGAGAAAGCAGGGGACCUUCGGGCCUUGCGCUAUCAGAUGAGCCUAGGUCGGAUUAGCUAGUUGGUGAGGUAAUGGCUCACCAAGGCGACGAUCCGUAACUGGUCUGAGAGGAUGAUCAGUCACACUGGAACUGAGACACGGUCCAGACUCCUACGGGAGGCAGCAGUGGGGAAUAUUGGACAAUGGGCGAAAGCCUGAUCCAGCCAUGCCGCGUGUGUGAAGAAGGUCUUCGGAUUGUAAAGCACUUUAAGUUGGGAGGAAGGGUACUUACCUAAUACGUGAGUAUUUUGACGUUACCGACAGAAUAAGCACCGGCUAACUCUGUGCCAGCAGCCGCGGUAAUACAGAGGGUGCAAGCGUUAAUCGGAAUUACUGGGCGUAAAGCGCGCGUAGGUGGUUCGUUAAGUUGAAUGUGAAAUCCCCGGGCUCAACCUGGGAACUGCAUCCAAAACUGGCGAGCUAGAGUAUGGUAGAGGGUGGUGGAAUUUCCUGUGUAGCGGUGAAAUGCGUAGAUAUAGGAAGGAACACCAGUGGCGAAGGCGACCACCUGGACUGAUACUGACACUGAGGUGCGAAAGCGUGGGGAGCAAACAGGAUUAGAUACCCUGGUAGUCCACGCCGUAAACGAUGUCAACUAGCCGUUGGGAGCCUUGAGCUCUUAGUGGCGCAGCU
rnacentral:rRNA from 1 species